rnacentral:rRNA from 1 species
UAACGCGUGAGGAACCUGCCUUCAGAGGGGACAACAGCUGGAACGGCUGCUAAUACCGCAUAACACAUAGGUGUCGCAUGGCAUUUAUGUCAAAGAUUUAUCGCUGAGAGAUGGCCUCGCGUCUGAUUAGCUAGUUGGUAGGGUAACGGCCUACCAAGGCGACGAUCAGUAGCCGGACUGAGAGGUUGGCCGGCCACAUUGGGACUGAGAUACGGCCCAGACUCCUACGGGAGGCAGCAG